rnacentral:lncRNA from 1 species
AAAUACAUUUCUCUACACCCAAAAUGGAAAAGAAUACUCCCCACACAUCCAAAAUCCUUGAAGCUUUGAAACUCUAAAGCUCUCAAACAAAUCCCGAAGGAUCAAGAAAGCCCUCUUCGUUCUUCAUCAAAUCCUCCUUCAAGAUCAAGCCCCAACGACCCUUGAAGAACUUCCACCAAUUCAAGAUCAAGCCUCGACAGCCCUUGAAGAAAGUAUUCAUCGUUCAUCAUCCGUUCAUCCUAAGAUCAAGCCCUAACGGCCCUUUGGAUCAACAACAUCAACAAAUCCACACAAUCAUUCUUCAAGAUCACGCCCAAAAGCCCUUGAAGAUCUAUUCAUCCAUCAACCUUCAAGAUCAAGCCUAAAAACCCUUGAACAAAUCCGCACAACCAUUCUCCAAGAUCAAGCCCAAAAGCCCUUAAAGAAACUUCUAACCGUUCAUCUAAGAUUAAGCCUCGACAGCCCCUGAAUCAACCUCACAUUCAACACUUAC